rnacentral:rRNA from 1 species
CCUACGGGUGGCAGCAGUGGGGAAUAUUGGGCAAUGGGCGCAAGCCUGACCCAGCAACGCCGCGUGAAGGAAGAAGGCUUUCGGGUUGUAAACUUCUUUUAAGAGGGAAGAGCAGAAGACGGUACCUCUUGAAUAAGCCACGGCUAACUACGUGCCAGCAGCCGCGGUAAUACGUAGGUGGCAAGCGUUGUCCGGAUUUACUGGGUGUAAAGGGCGUGUAGCCGGGCUGACAAGUCAGAUGUGAAAUUCCGGGGCACAACCACGGACCUGCAUUUGAAACUGUUGGUUUUGAGUAUCGGAGAGGCAGGCGGAAUGCCUAGGGAAGCGGUGAAAGGCGUAGAUAUAAGGAGGAACACGAGUGGCGAAGGCGGCCUACUGGACGAAAACUGACGGUGAGGGGCGAAAGCGUGGGGAGCAAACAGGAUUAGAUACCCGGGUAGUC